GAAUCACAGUUCACCUUAGCUGAACUUGUGUGAUCUUCUAGUUCACGGUAGUUAGUGUGAGGCUGUCGGUCCGCUCCGGUGUGGCUGUCGCGAGGAUGAACAGCUCCUCUUGAUCAUUACCAAAAAAAAAAAAAACUACCUUUAAAAGACGUAGUGUGUCGUCAUGUUUUUGUGUAGAUCAGAAGGUUGUGAUAGUUUGCUGGCGGACAGACCGCAUUAACGGUCGUGUGUUAACCGCGUUCAAGAAUUUCAGCCUGGACUUGAAAAAUAAUAACGGUCGUCGUGGUUUUACCCAACGACUCCCGUCAAGUUUCCUUUGUUUGUUUUGCCGUUGCUCGUUUCUAACGACAACUAAAGGAGCACGAAUGAUCCAGAUGAAGCUACGAAGCGGAGGAAACGCGGACGUAAAUAAUUGGUGCUUGAAAUGGCGAAAAUCUAUAUCGGACUCAACCCAGAGAUGGAAUGUACGUCCACCUUUUAUCUGGUACGAUUUUGUCUUUAAGUAUACAUAUAAAUAUACAGAGUGAGUGUAAAUAAACUCAGUGUA
rnacentral:lncRNA from 1 species